rnacentral:rRNA from 1 species
CCUACGGGAGGCAGCAGUGAGGAAUAUUGGUCAAUGGACGAGAGUCUGAACCAGCCAAGUAGCGUGAAGGAUGACUGCCCUAUGGGUUGUAAACUUCUUUUAUAUGGGAAUAAAAUGUUCCACGUGUGGGAUUUUGUAUGUACCAUAUGAAUAAGGAUCGGCUAACUCCGGGCCAGCAGCCGCGGUAAUACGGAGGAUCCGAGCGUUAUCCGGAUUUAUUGGGUUUAAAGGGAGCGUAGGUGGAUUGUUAAGUCAGUUGUGAAAGUUUGCGGCUCAACCGUAAAAUUGCAGUUGAAACUGGCAGUCUGGAGUACAGUAGAGGUGGGCGGAAUUCGUGGUGUAGCGGUGAAAUGCUUAGAUAUCACGAAGAACUCCGAUUGCGAAGGCAGCUCACUGGACUGCAACUGACACUGAGGCUCGAAAGUGUGGGUAUCAAACAGGAUUAGAUACCCCUGUAGUC